CUCCCAUCCGUGUCUAUUGUACCCUGUUGCUUCGGCGGGCCCGCCGCUUGACGGCCGCCGGGGGGGCGCCUCUGCCCCCCGGGCCCGUGCCCGCCGGAGACCCCAACACGAACACUGUCUGAAAGCGUGCAGUCUGAGUUGAUUGAAUGCAAUCAGUUAAAACUUUCAACAAUGGAUCUCUUGGUUCCGGCAUCGAUGAAGAACGCAGCGAAAUGCGAUAACUAAUGUGAAUUGCAGAAUUCAGUGAAUCAUCGAGUCUUUGAACGCACAUUGCGCCCCCUGGUAUUCCGGGGGGCAUGCCUGUCCGAGCGUCAUUGCUGCCCUCAAGCCCGGCUUGUGUGUUGGGUCGCCGUCCCCCUCUCCGGGGGGACGGGCCCGAAAGGCAGCGGCGGCACCGCGUCCGAUCCUCGAGCGUAUGGGGCUUUGUCACAUGCUCUGUAGGAUUGGCCGGCGCCUGCCGACGUUUUCCAACCAUUCUUUCCAGGUUGACCUCGGAUCAGGUAGGGAUACCCGCUGAACUUAAGCAUAUCAAUAAGCGGA
rnacentral:rRNA from 1 species